UACGGAGGAUCCGAGCGUUUAUCCGGAUUUAUUGGGUUUAAAGGGUGCGUAGGCGGCCUAUUAAGUCAGGGGUGAAAGACGGUAGCUUAACUAUCGCAGUGCCUUUGAUACUGAUAGGCUUGAAUGUACUUGAGGUAGGCGGAAUGUGACAAGUAGCGGUGAAAUGCAUAGAUAUGUCACAGAACACCAAUUGCGAAGGCAGCUUACUAAAGUAUGAUUGACGCUGAGGCACGAAAGCGUGGGGAUCAAACAGG
rnacentral:rRNA from 1 species